UUUGGCAGACGCUUUUGUCCAAAGCGACUUACAAUAGUUAAGUACAAUGUAAAAUAAAUUUAAAGGUAAAACAUCUUUGGAUAGGGAUAAAAGGAGGACAAAGGGGAAUAAUAGGAUAGAGGAGUGAAGGAGGGGAAGAAGGAAAUGAGGUUAGAAGUAGUUAUUGUGUUAGAUGUGUUAGGAGAGUAAGUGCUCUUUGAAGAGCUCAGUCUUCAGGAGUUUAUUAAAGAUAGUGAGAGAUUCUCCUGAUCUGGUAGUAGAAGGUAGUUAGUUAGAGGUGUUAGGAGAGUAAGUGCUCUUUGAAGAGUUGUGUCUUCAGGAGUUUCUUAAAGAUAGCGAGAGAUUCUCCUGAUCUGGUAGUGGAAGGUAGUUUGUUCCACCAUUGGGGAACUCUGUAUGAGAACAGUCUGGAUUGCUUUGUGUGAAUGUUUGUUUGGUAAAGCGAGGCGACGUUCAUUGGAGGAGCGCAGCGGCCGGGAGGUAGCGUAAGCCUUCAGGAGCGAGUGCAGGUAGGAAGGAGCUGUUCUGUCAUCACCUUGUAGGCGAUUGUAAGAGCUUUGAAUUUGAUGCGAGCAUCAACUGGUAGCCAGUGGAGCUCAAUGAGCAGCGGGGUGACAUGUGCCCGUUUUGGUCGGUUGAAGACCAGACGUGCUGCUGCGUUCUGGAUCAUCUGGAGUGGUUUUACUACACAGGCCGGGAGGCCAGUUGGCAGGGCAUUGCAGUAGUCGAGGCGUGAGAUGACGACUGCUUGUACCAGGAGUUGGGUGGCCUGUUGCUUCAGAGACGGUCUAAUUUUUCGGAUGUUAUAGAGCGCAAAGCGGCAGGACCGAGCAACCGAGGCCACAUGGUGCGUGAAGGAGAGUUGGUCAUCAACCAGAACACCCAGGUUCCUAGCAACCUUUGUCGGUGAGAGAGAGAGAGAGAGUCGAUGCUUAUAGAGAAGUUGUGUUGAAAAGAUGGUUUUGCUGGUAUAACCAGAAGUUCAGUCUUUGAGAGAUUUAAUUGAAGGUGAUGCUCCUUCAUCCAUGAGGAUAUGUCAGAGAGACACUGCGAUAUCCGUGCAGAGAUUGAGUGAUCUUCAGGUGAGAACGACAGGUAUAGCUGGGUGUCAUCAGCAAAGCAAUGGUAGGAAAAUCCGUGUGAGCGGAUAACCUGACCAAGAGAGGUGGUGUAUAUGGAGAAGAGAAGGGGUCCCAGUACCGAACCUUGGGGAACCCCAGUGGAUAAGGAGUGGGCUGAGGACAGCUGUCCUUGCCACGACACCUUGAACGAGCGCCCAGUGAGGUGCGAUCUGAACCAUGACAGCACAUUGUCUGAGAUCCCCAUGUUUGAAAGUAUAGUUAGGAGGAAGUCGUGGUUGACUGUGUCGAAGGCGGCCGAGAGGUCCAGCAGAAUGAGCACUGAAGACUGACCUGCAGCUCUGGCAGUUUUUAAUGUUUCAGUCACAGACAACAGAGCCGUCUCGGUAGAGUGUCCUUUUUUGAAUCCAGAUUGGUUCUGGUCCAGAAGGUCAUUCUGGGAGAGGAAGCCAGAGACCUGAUUUAAAACUGCUCUCUCGAGUGUUUUAGAGAGAAAGGGUAGCAGUGAGACCGGUCUGUAGUUGUCAACCUGGGCGGGGUUGAGAGAAGGCUUUUUAAGCAGUGGUGUCACAUGUGCUUGUUUGAAAGCAGUCGGGAAUACACCAGAAGUUAAAGAGGCAUUGAUCGUGUGAGUGAUAGCCGGAAUGAUUGCAGGUGCGAUAGUUUGCAGUAGGUUUGAAGGAAUUGGGUCAAGCGGACACGUAGUAGGACUGCUACGCGUUAGGAGAGCCAGUGUCUCGUUCUCAGUGAGAGGAGCGAACGAGGAGAAAGCAACGCCUUCGGUGGAGGGACACCGGGCAGUAGAGCAUGUAGUAGGACUGCUACAUUGUGCAUCAGUAAACUGGUUGCUGAUAGCUGCCACUUUGCCAGUAAAGAAUGAGGCAAGUGUUUCAGCCGUAAGGCAUGUAGCCGGAGGAGGAGGCGGAGGGUUGAGUAGUGAUUUAAAUGUAGCAAAUAGUUUCCGGGAGUCUGUGAGAGAGCAGAAUUUAUUGUGAUAAAAUUCAGCUUUUAUCUAUCUAUCAGAUAUUAUCUAUCUAUCAUUUUAAACCAACUUUAAAUCACUGGUCUUCACUUCCUAUAUCAUUAGCGAGCAGGAUGAACUCAAUCAACAUGAUCAUUUUGCAGGAUGUUCUGUAUAAUGACAGGAAAUGGUGGGCUGGAAUGAGAUAAACAUGUGGGUAAAAACAGAAACAAAACCAAAACUUUAGCCCAAUUCCAUUUCUCUCUUAUACUCUCCCCCUGGUGUUGGAGUGUAACUCUUCACCUUUACAACAGAGUGAGAAGAAUAAAAUAAGUAAAAGAAUCAGGAGAACACUUUAUUUUUUUACAGCAAACUUUUUGACAUGUGUUAAAAAAUUAAAUUCAAGUAAAAUAUU